GUUGAGGGUUAAGUGUCACUUUAAUAUUGACACCUAUUACUAUCAUGAAAUUGCAGAGUUUAUUUCCCUUGUUAGAACAAUCUAGUACACCAAGCAUGUCAAACUCGAGGCCCCCGGGCCGCACGCGGCCCACAGUGAGUAUCUUUGCGGCCCAGCAAGCCUUGAGUUUGAGACAUGAUAACUAAGGCAAAGUAGGCACCUGCUCUCCUUACAUUGCAGGUGCCUACUCUGCUAAAAAUGUACCCGGCCGGGAAGGAGAGUUUGCUGGCGGCAGCAAGGGAGCUCAGUCUUCCUGCUCCUCACUGCUCCCUCGCACGCGCCCUCUGUAGUGAUGACGGGCGCCGGAAUAUGACGUCAUAUUCCAGCACCCAGCAUCACUAAACUGCGAGUGUGAGGGA